rnacentral:lncRNA from 1 species
AACCAAUUUUAUUUGCUAAUUGAAAAUUAAGCGGAAUAAAAUAAUUUAAGACAGCAGAAAAGAUAAUUCUGUUUUAAUUGGUUAUUAGUUAUUACUAUGUAUUACUAACGACUUAAAUAAAAGAGUGGGCUAUUAAUACUCUAAUGUAUGAUGUCUCUAGUCUGGUCAAAGGGGUCAGAGUGUCCUACUUAUAUAAACGAUAAAUUGUUGAAAUUAGAUAACAUGUUUUCACGUGCAGAGAAAUUUCACUUAUGACCAAUGCAUGAUUGGAUUUCAUCUUUCUUAUUGGUCAAUGAUCUUGCGGUCAGUACGAGUUCACGUGUAAGUGUAUUGUGGUCACUUCCUUUUAUCAUCAGCAUUUGAUGUGUUAACUUGUGAUUCUUAUCAAACAAUUUGUUCAAAAUUAUAUGUGAUUUUGUUUUUUGUUUUAUGGAUAAUUUUGGACUGGAGUGAUUUCAUUUUAGCUAUUUCAGGUAUAAUCGAACUAUACUUUUAUUUUUAAGCUAUUCUAUGCUUACAUUUUGAACAAACGUACAGUUAAUUUUUUUUUAACCAUUCUUCCAUUCGGAUAGAACUCACGAUUUAGAUUUAUGCCAAACAUGAGCAGUUGGUCAAAUUCAUUUCUUUGUCAAAGAGAUAGUGGGUCAAAUUGAUUUUCAUGUGGGUGGCGACACUGUGCGUUUGCGAUCAAAAUGUAAUUAUUUAUCAUUUAUUCUGAUGAUUAACCUGAUGCUGUAAUUUUACAAGUUACUGAAUCCUUUACAGCAUCAUUAUGUUUGCAGAACGUAUAUCCGCCUUAUGUAUUUGUAAGAUACAUGAUUCGUUUAAAUUUAACUACAAUUAAAAAUUGGAUUAUUGCAUAACGAUAAUAAUACCAUACAUGAUAGAAUGCAAAGUUAUACACUUAUAAUUUAUACGAUGUUAUUAACGGUUCCAUACAUUUUAAGUACUCUUAUAUGAAAGAGCAAGACAGUUUAAGUUUUAAUGCUAAGCUAUUGUGUUACAAACCCAUUUGCCUUACUUGUUUGGGUAAGGUUGACGAUAUUUCAAUUGGUGCAGUGAACUUGACUGCUUGUACGUAUGACCUCUGUGUAUGUGCUUUUUCAAUUACGUUUUAUGCAGAGUUCAUUGUUUUAUGCUAUGUCACGAAACUCAUGCUACUUUCGUAAAUCUCGUCACGGCAGUUUGGUUUGAGCUUAUUAUAAUUUUGCAAGUUAGCCUAAUCGCUAUAAUUGUUAGUAUUUUAAUUUAUGCAAGUGUACCUUGUUUGCUUUAUGUAAUCGGUAUAAAAAGGAUAUGUCUCUUACCUAUAUCGCAACCCAAUGCUUAUUUAUUACGAACCAAUUUACCUGUCUUUGCCUGUUUGGGUAAUGUGGACGAUAUUUAAAUUUUCGCAGAGGGCGUGGUUGCUUGUACUUAUGUCCUCUGUGUAUUAUUUUCUCAGAGGUUGUGGUAGCUUGGUCUAUGACCUCUGUGUAUUUACUUUUGCAAAUAUUGUAGUAUGUAGUGGGUAUUGUUUUAUGCUUCGUCAUGAAACUCAUGCUGCUUUGGUUUUGCAGAGGUCGUAGUAGCUUGGUCUAUGAUCUCUGAUUGUUUUAUGCUUCGUCAUGAAACUCAUGUGCUUUGGUCAGAGUGUAGUAGCUUGGUCUAUGAUCUCUGCAUUGUUUUAUGCUUCGUCAUGAAACUCAUGAUACUCUUUCAGAGGUCGUAGCUUGGUCUAUGACCUCUGUGUAUUUGCUUUUGUAAAGUUAAUAUGUAGUGGGUUUUGUUUUAUGCUUCGUCAUGAAACGCAUGUUAUAUUUUUGCAGAGGUCGUAGUAGCUUGGUCUAUGAUCUCUGUAUUGUUUUAUGCUUCGUCAUGAAACUCAUGCUAAACUACUUUUAAUUAUUAUUUCGUCAUGGUGAUUGGUUUGGAAUAAAUUAAUUUUGUAAUCAAUUCUUUAGCUACAUACAAAAUUGCCAGUAUUUUGAGACAUGUAGCCAGAUUUACAUGUUUGUCAGUUUGUAAUACAUGUUUUUAAUGUAUUAUUUUAUUUAUCUUUACUAGUAUAAUUCAUGUACAUGAUAUAGUUUGGGAUGCGAUGAACGUAAUUGAUAAUUUUUAUGCCGAUACUUAUGCACUGUAAGGUCGUUUGCUUUUUUCUCUAUAUACUAGAUUAUUAAUAAAAAAAAUAACAUUGGACAAGACAUAUAUUAUAUAAUUAUAUACUGAUGAUAUUUUAAAGUUCAUACUCUUCAUUUAAUACAUGAUAAAAACAUCUUUCUGUUUAAUGGUUGAUUAUUAAAGAAGAGAAACUAUGAUAAUUUAAUUAUCGCAUAUUAUUCCUUAACAUUCGUUAUGUUUGUGGUCCUUGAUGUAAGACAAAGUUUGUUUUUUAAUAGGAAUUUAAUUUCAUCCAUUAUUUUAUAUUUUUAUUUUGUUUAUUUCAUGCUUUUAACUAUGGACAAAGAGCGCUAAGAAUGGUAUUCCAUCUACGAAAGAACUUUCCCCAUUGAAGGAAAUGUGCAAUAAAGCGUGAUAUCAACAACUUACAUAUACUUUCAUUUGUCAGCGGUAUGCCAUAAGUCCGAUAAUACAAACAUACGAAUAUUGAUGGGUUGCUGUUUCACUGACAUUAAUGACACAUACCUAAUUUCGAGAUUAGAAUUUUGAUCCAGAAGUGCGAGUCGUAUCAACAUUGACUAACCAAAGCCUAAUUUGACUGUUUUAUAAAUACAAAUUUACAAAAUACGACUUCGAUCAUCAGCAUUUUGAUACACAACUGGACCCUAGUUACAAUGAAAGCUCAAAGCACCUAUUGUUAUUCCACCAUCUCUUUAAAGUUGACUAUGUCGUUAAUUGUCUAGGACUCUCGUAACUUAUAAUUACAGCACUUAGUUUUAGAGGAAGGAAAAUAAAACAAACAAAGACUUCUGCCGCAGUUCAUUGGAUGGAAUGGUCCUAUAUAAUAUCCGUGAUUCAAGGAUUGAAGUCAAAUACGUUUAUGGAAUUUUACAGCUAAAAAGAAUAAAUUUAGUAUCAGAACUUUAUACUUCAGCUGUUGCGGGUCAGUAUUACCUGACAAAACAUUUUAUGAUCUUUAUUUCAUACAAUUACAACUGUCUCUUGUUUUUGGGUCAGCAUUGCCUGCCAAAACAUUUUAUGAUCUUUUUUUCAUAUAAUUACAACUGUCUUGUUUUGGGCCAGCAUUGCCUUGCCAAAACAUUUUAUGAUUUUUAUUUCUUAUAAUUACAACUGUCUUGUUUUGGGCCAGCAUUGCCUGCCAAAACAUUUUAUGAUUUUUAUUUCUUAUAAUUACAACUGUCUUGUUUUGGGUCAGCAUUGCCUGCCAAAACGUUUUAUGAUCUUUAUUUCUUAUAAUUACAACUGUCUUGUUUUGGGUCAGCAUUGCCUGCCAAAACAUUUUAUGAUUUUUAUUUCUUAUAAUUACAACUGUCUUGUUUGGGUCAGCAUUGCCUGCAAAAACGGUUAUUUAUCUUUAUUUCACAUAAUUUCACCGUAUCUUGUUUUGGGUCAGUAUUGCCUGCUAAAACGUUUUAGUGAUCUUUAUUUCAUACGAUUGUGUCUUUAUUGCCGUCAUCCUGCCGGUGCUGUCUUUACACAUUGUUCAGACUGUCAAUGCGAUCAUUCGAUAGGCUACCUUUAAAAUUGUUUUUUAAUUUUUAUGGCCUGUUUGUAUACAUGAAUAGUUCGUAAAUCAUGUUAUGGUUUUUAAUGUUGCCUAUCUAAUUCAUAUUAAUUAUUCAAAUUAUUAUUAUAUAUAUAUAAAAAAGACUUGAUGGUUUAUUCCAAUGUUGUACUAAAUGCUAUGGUCUUUAGAGGUAAAUCCAUCACAAACCAAAGUUUUAUAUUUAACUAAACUGGUUAUUAUUUACUAAAUUGUUUUUUUUUCUUUCUUUUCUUUUUGGCAUUUUGGUUUAAUGUUUAAGUAUGUGUCAAAAGCUAUAAAUAUUCUCUCGGUUAAACUUACAUCUUUUAACUUUCAUCGCAAUUAAGGUACAGUUUAAUUUUUUUCAUUUUACAACUUUAUUUACUACCAUACAAUAUAAACCUUUUAAAUGCAUUACGAAAUUAUAUUCUAUAGUCUCUAUCAAUUCGGAUCACAACAAAUAAAACUGAGAGUUAAAAAAAAAAAAAAAAAAAAAAGUUUUACAUUAGAUACUUAUUUACUAAUUUCAAUUUUAAAACUUUUUCCCUAUGAACUUCACACCGCCACAUUAUGUAUGUAUGUGCCUGUCCCAAGUUAGGAGCCUGUAGUUCAGUGGUUUCGUUGGUAUAUGUAUUACAUUUUGUUUAUCGUUAAUUUUUUUAUAUGAAUAAGGCCGUUAGUUUUUCUCGUUUAAAUUGUUUUACAUAGUCAUCUUGGGGCCUUUUAAAGCUGACUGUGCGAUAUGGGCUUUGUUCAUUGGAAGCCGUGCGGUGACCUAGAGUUGUUAAUUUCCGUGUCAUUUUGGUUUCUUGUGGUGAACUGUCUCAUUGGCAAUCAUACCACAUCUUCUUUUUUAUAUUUAUACAAUUUCGAUUGAAAAAUGUCAAGUGUAGUAUGAGAAUCAUUUUGCUCAUGAUUCCAUACAGAAAUAGUCAGAUACAAAGCUUCGUUUUAGAAAGGAUCCAGGGCUUCGUAAAAUGUACUUUAGUUUUGUUUGAAUUUUUUAGAUUAAAGAUACAGUUUCGAUUAAUUAAUGUACUAGUUGUUUGUACUAAAUUAUAUAGAGGAUUCUAUUCUUUAAAUGUCUGGAUGUACGACAAAUAUGAAUUCUUGAACAUACUUAACGACGAUUCUAUUGUAAUUUUAUUGCUGUGAUCCUGACCGGAAUAAAAUUUACAACUUUAAUCAUUUUUUACCAGUAAGAGAAAAUUGAAAAGUAAUAUCUUGGUAUAUGUUAUUAUAAAGUUUUAAAAUUUCUGCUAAAUGUGGAAACGUUUUACAUAAUAAAAUGAUAUUUGUUUGGUGAACAUGUAUGUGACUGUCAUGCUUGUUAAUUUUUUCAAGUCAUAUAUAAAUUGUAUUCACGUCGCCAGAGUCCUCGGGUGGGGGAUCCACUCUUUCAGCCUUAGAGUGGAUUUCGGAUCCACUCUUUCAGCCUAAGAGUGGAUUGGUGGCAGAUUUUUCUCCCCACCUUUGCUAUUCUUUGUCAUUUAUUCAAUUGAUAUGAUAUUAAUUGAUGUAAUUUCGUAUUAAUUAUGUAUUAUUAUUUCAUAUUAAAUAUGAACUUUUAUGUCAAAUGUUUUAUUUGCAAAAUGUAUUUUUUGCAUUUUAUGAUUUUGAAUAAAUGACCUUUUUUCGUCAGUUUAGUUUUUAUAUCAUAUAGCAAAUCAAGCUCAGACUCUGGCAUGUGUAUACAUAGUAUGUUUCUGGUAUCUAGCUGUCUGUCUUAAAACCAAUUUUAUUUGCUAAUUGAAAAUUAAGCGGAAUAAAAUAAUUUAAGACAGCAGAGAAGAUAAUUCUGUUUUAAUUGGUUUACUAACAUAGAUGUAUUACAUCUAUGUUAUUACUAACCGACUUAAAUAAAAGAGUGAGCUAUUAAUACUCUGAAUGUAUGAUGUCUCUAGUCUGGUCAAAGGGUCAGAGUGUCCUACUUAAUUAAACUAUAAAUUGUAGAAAUUAGAUAACCUGUUUCCACGUGCAGAGAAAUUUCACUUAUGACCAAUGCAUGAUUGGAUUUCAUCUUUCUUAUUGGUCAAUGAUCUUGCGGGUCAGCACGAGUUCACGUGUAAGUGCAUUAUGGUCACUUCCUUUUAUCAUCAGCAUUUGAUGUGUUAACUUGUGAUUCUUAUCAAACAAUUUGUUCAAAAUGA